GAUGAAGAACGUAGCGAAAUGCGAUAAGUAAUGUGAAUUGCAGAAUUCAGUGAAUCAUCGAAUCUUUGAACGCACAUUGCGCCCCUUGGUAUUCUGGGGGGCAUGCCUGUUCGAGCGUCAUUAUAACCCUCAAGCCUAGCUUGGUGUUGGAGCAUGCUACCUAAGCAGCUCUUAAAAUCAGUGGCAGUGCCCUUCGGCUCUAAGCGUAGUAACUUCUCUCGCUAUGGAACCCGGAGGGUACGCGCCAGAACCCCCAACUUUCUAUGGUUGACCUCGGAUCAGGUAGGGAUACCCGCUGAACUUAAGCAUAUCAAUAAGCGGAGGA
rnacentral:misc_RNA from 1 species